rnacentral:rRNA from 1 species
UGGGGAAUUUUGGACAAUGGGCGAAAGCCUGAUCCAGCAAUGCCGCGUGUGUGAAGAAGGCCUUCGGGUCGUAAAGCACUUUUGUCCGGAAAGAAAUGGCUCUGGUUAAUACCUGGGGUCGAUGACGGUACCGGAAGAAUAAGGACCGGCUAACUACGUGCCAGCAGCCGCGGUAAUACGUAGGGUCCAAGCGUUAAUCGGAAUUACUGGGCGUAAAGCGUGCGCAGGCGGUUGUGCAAGACCGAUGUGAAAUCCCCGAGCUUAACUUGGGAAUUGCAUUGGUGACUGCACGGCUAGAGUGUGUCAGAGGGGGGUAGAAUUCCACGUGUAGCAGUGAAAUGCGUAGAGAUGUGGAGGAAUACCGAUGGCGAAGGCAGCCCCCUGGGAUAACACUGACGCUCAUGCACGAAAGCGUGGGGAGCAAACAGGAUUAGAUACCCUGGUAGUCCACGCCCUAAACGAUGUCAACUAGUUGUUGGGGG